AGCUUGCCCAGUGCCAGCCGUUCAAGGGAAAUGCGAGCGUCUCUAAGGAUGGAUAUAUUUGAACAAAGUAACAUUGUCUUCCAUGGCUGAACAUGAGCUCAUCGGUUUCGACUCAUCACCACAUUCGAGUAAGUUGAUUUCAAACCAGCCUAAUGAUAUUUGACAAGAGCAAUGCUGCACACACCGAGAUAAAUUCUUACACUUUAUUCCACAGAAACUAGCUCUUUUGAAACAGCCUUGAAUCUAGGAUGUAAAUGUCUGUAAAAAAUUUGGAACCAUAGGAUUUCUCAAGAGAUUUCCCUGGGUUUGAUUAUAUAACUUAUUGCCUCAGCGAUUCAAUCUAGAAACUGUACCCAUUUUGUAAGUUAUUCAAUUUGAGUCAUACGUCAUAAGUAAAGUGUCUAACAGUUGAGCUGGUUUCCGACCGGGAGAAAAUCUGUAAGACGAGAAAGAUAUAUGGGUUGUUUGAGAACUAUCCAGAGCAAGUCGGCAUCAUCGGUUCCAGUCUAUGAAAUCCAAGCAGCAAAACCGGUGGUACUUCUUUCUUCAGAUCCUCCAAAUCAAAGCAGACCCACUUUAGCUUCUGUUUUUGGAGGUAAUCUGUUCGUAUCUUCCAUUUGUUGUCGCGUGAUGAGAUGUUUAACAAAUCGAAAUCUUCUUAGAUCUCCUUUUGUAUCUGCAAAUUGGCCUUGGUCAAGUAUAUUUUGGGGAGCCUGUGAUUGCAUUAUCAUUUGUGUUCUUAAUUCAACUUUAGUUCUUGUUUGUGGUGAUGAUAUGAUUUCAGUUCAUCCUAAUUUAGUUUUGGUGCCUUACGUUAAUAUGUUAGCUUUUAGUUUUAUUUUAGCUUUAGAUUUAAUUGUGUUAGAGUUAGCAGUGAAGGAAAAGACAGCAACAACUCAUUCAAGAUCUGCAUUAAGAAGUUCAUCUACAAUUGUUACCGCAUCUCCAAUGCCGAGUCAGCCCGAUUCAUUCCGAUACAGACACUUAAAAGACCAAUUCAGAUUACCACCGUUACUUCAGACACCUUGGUUACUUCAGACACUUUGAUUACAAUUUGAUUACUGUUACUUCUAGUUGGGUCAUUGUUACCUUGAUUGCUCCAUUUUACCCGUUCUCCCCAUUUCCUCGCCUGGAAUGGAGCCACCAAAAAUCUCUCUUAUACAAAAUCUCAGAAAUCUCUGGUAAUUGGAGUGAAGACGACAUCUAUACAAGAUAUUAACUGGUAAACAUGCAAAUCACUUAAUACAGGAAAGGCAACGGUAAUUACCAUCGUCGAAUAUCGCCGGACCAGCAAUUCAGAAAAGGAGGAGGAGGAGGAGGAGGAGGAGGAGAAUCAAUGUCAAGCGUUCCCGAAGAGAUUUACCAAGAAAUACUUCUAAAGGUACCAGUGAAAUCAUUGUCAGUGCGUAAAUGUGUAUGCAGAUCUUGGUUUGCCUUAAUAUCUAACUCAGAUUUUGUCAAAAUGCACCUUAGUCUUACUAUCCAGAAUGAGAACCCUAAUCUCAUACUGAGAGAUUGUGAUGAUGUUAAGGAACGUCUCUUAAUUCUCUCUAAGUUGUGAUUUAUUAUCGUCCCCAUGAUGUUGUCGAAAUUGAUUUCUCUUUCGUUAUCCAGUACAAAAGUUGACUAAUAAGUUUGGUAAUGAUACUGCUCAACAUGAAAUCUAUUACCCAGACCAACCUUAUUAUCGUCUUAAAUUCCUGGGUUCUUCUAAUGGUUUGGUCUGCAUUUGGAAUGGUCACAAGUCUUGCAUUUAUAUUUGGAACCCAACCACGAGAGAAUACAAGACUGUACCCGAGUCUCCAUACAGAGAAGAGAUUUAUCGUCGUAGUAUUAACGUUUUUGCAUUUGGUUAUGACUGUAACUCUGGUGAUUACAAGUUGUGACUGCACUGGAUUUCGAAAAGAAAAUGAGUAAUGAUGUGGAAGUUUAUACUCUAGGUACAGAUUCAUGGAGAAGCAUUCAGUCCGUCCCAUAUGUGUUUACUUUAUUAGAGACAUUUGUGCACUUGUUGGUGGAACUUUUCGUUGGUUAGGCGAAACACGUGAAAGAUACUCUUCCAAGAUUAUAAUCUCGUUCGAUAUGAGCAGUGAGAAGUUGAAAGCAUUGCCACUGCCAAAGGAACCUUUGGAGAAUAAACAAUUGAUUAUGAGUGUGAAUGAGUUGGAAGGGUACCUUUGUGUACUUGUUGAUGGUGGUGUUAGUUUUAGACUUUUAGUGGUGAUGCAGUAUGGGUAAUGCAAGAUUAUGGAGUUGGAGAAUCUUGGACUAAGCAUUAUAUCAUUGCUCAUGGCUAUGUCAACCCCAAGAGAUAUCUGGGGUCGCAUCAAUCAAGGCUUAUAUGGUCGUUUAAGAAUGGUGAGAUCCUAUUCAAGUUUGCUGGUAUGCUUGUUUUAUAUGACCCAAAGCAUGCAAGUAUUAGAGAACAAAAUAUUCCAGGUUUAACAAGCUCCAUUACAGAAGAGAUUUAUUUUGAAAGUUUAGUUUCACUGAACUCUGGUACUUAUGCGGGGAAAUAGUCUACUGAAAUGUUUUCCAGAAGAAGCUUAAAAAGAAAACCAUGAGAAUGUGUUAGUAGUAUUUUUUACCUGAGAUUCCACUAUAUUGUUCCACUUCCACCUUUCUGGUAUAUAGCAUGUAAUGGGAGUGUGUUUAGAGCAAUAUGUCUUCCUACAUUGAUUUGCAGUUAACUUAUUUGCCAUUGAUUUUUUACUUGGUUUCUCUUGAAGUUCUCUAGCAAUAUUAAGCCAUGUUUAUAAACGUAAUAGUACUAUAUCCAUGCUUUCAAUCGCUGUUUAGUGUUCUCUAUAGUUGCUAAAGCGCAAGAAGAGUCCACAGUUCAAUUAUUGCUUCACUUUCAUGAUAAAUGUGCUAGAUGGUUUUGUGGAGCACGUGAAAGAUAUCCUCUUUUCUAUCUUAUCGUCUAUUUUUGAACUUUAGGUGCAGCACCUAACUGCAUAAUCAUUUCAAUUACUUCUGACAAAUCUUAUGGUGAGAAAGAUGUCUUUAAACCAACUGUAUGUUAAGGUGCCAAAUAUGUUUUUCUAUUGUUGAAAAUUUGAUUACUUGAAACUUGUAACAGACACAAAAAAGUACACAGAGCUGUAAAUAUUCUUAUACUUGGGAAAUUUGGUUGUUUACUUGUAUACAGUGUUUUUUGUUAUUUAUACUGAUUAGGCUUUACUUGUUUACUUGAUAGAAUUUCGAUCUGAAAACACUUCCCUAAAAACCCUACGUCCUCAUUUAUACUACAGGAUUUCUAUCUUUUCUUACAGAUUUCUAUCUUUUCUUACAGAUUUCUAUCUUUUCUUAUUUUUGUGGUGGUUGUCGUUAUUGGUAGAAGAGAAAAUAUAGAGGGAAAGUUAUUUAUGGUUCAAGUACUAUUAAAUUUUGCAGCUCCUGGAGCACUGUUAUGGAGUAAUUGGUUCCAACUGGUCUGACUAUGUAGUUUAUGAUUUCGAUGAUUGGUUUACCAAGUGAACAAUAAAUGCUAUUAUGUUGGGAAAUUAUUUGUUGUUUGGCUUUGAGUUUUGCAUCCUUGAACAGGGGUUACUGCCCAUCCCUGAUAUCUAUUGUUUUUUGUGUGUUUUUUUCUUCUUCUUUUGGUUACUGGUUAGGGAGAGGUUUUGUCUUCGAGCGGCCAAGCUCUACUCUUAAGUUCACAAAGUCCAUGUGUGUGGGAAGUACAUUCCAGAGCAUCAAAUAUAUGUGGUAAUACAGACAUACUGCUAUCAUGAUACACUGCAGCUGCAGGAGAUGGAUCUUACAUGAACAACUUCAUAUCUCUGCAGAGCAUACUGUGUGCAUGUUUAUACAUGCUUUAGUCCGACGUCAGCUUUUACUGCCAGCAGGUCUGGAGCAGCUGGACAUGAUAGCUGUAUACCAAGAGGGGAGCCUAUGAGCGCCUUUGCAGGUGGUUUCGGGCUGAACAUAGAAGAUUGGGUGACAGCUUAGUGAACUUCUGAAUCUGAUGCAAUAUUUGUAGGGGGUAUGCCGGAGAAGCUCCCAAUUAUGCAGUGCUCGACUUACACUGGUAUUGUUAAAACUUAAAAAGUAUCCUCAUCGAAGCACCAUAAGAUGGUCUGUGUUACAAAAACAAUGAUUUUUGAGGUUCUUUUAUGCCCAAAGCCAAGAACUUAAACUCCAUAAGCAUACGGACAAUGUAAGAAAAAGUGGUCCGCUAGCAGCAUCACAGAGCAAACAUUUUUCACUCUGCAUAUUAACUCCACACGACGGCUCAACAUGUCGCUAGUUGGUGAAUAGUUGUGAAAUGUGAACCAAAGAAUAAAGUUUACCGUAGGAGGAAUUCUUGAUUUCUAAAUAUGCUUGUCAAACUAACAGUCUGAGUUAUGCACAGUAUACACUUUCUGA